rnacentral:rRNA from 1 species
UACGGAGGGUGCGAGCGUUAUCCGGAUUCACUGGGUUUAAAGGGUGCGUAGGUGGGCUUGUAAGUCAGUGGUGAAAUCUCCGUGCUUAACAUGGAAACUGCCAUUGAUACUAUAGGUCUUGAAUCUUCCGGAGGUUAGCGGAAUAUGUCAUGUAGCGGUGAAAUGCUUAGAUAUGACAUAGAACACCGAUUGCGAAGGCAGCUAACUACAGGGGCAUUGACACUGAGGCACGAAAGCGUGGGGAUCAAACAGG